rnacentral:tRNA from 1 species
GGUCCCGUGGCCCAAUGGAUAAGGCGUCUGACUACGAAUCAGGAGAUUGUGGGUUCGAGUCCCAUCGGGAUCA